UCCGACCCACAUGUGCACCGCAUUGUGGAUGACUUCCAGCUGCCCGUUAGCCUCCUGGAUCUCCUUCUCCCCCGCGCGCACGGGAUCCCCCAUGAACAGCUCCGCCAGCGACAGGCUGUGCUUGAACGUCUUCUGUAUGAAGCAGAGGUUCUCUCGAAUGAUCUCGCUGUUGGAGGCAGGGUUUUCGGUGUAGGCGUACUUGAGGUCGACGAUCUUGCCAUCCUUGACGUGGCGUUGGUCGCGUUUCGUGUCAGACAGCGGGGAUGACUCUUCGUGGAAGAUGGCGGGGAACGUCAUGCCGUCCUUGGUGUCCCAGUUCCAGAAGGGGAUGGUGAAGGUGUCGUCGUCGAUGAGCUUGCCGAGGAUCCGCUCGUAGAAGUGGAGGUAGUAGCGGUGCCAGGGGAGGAAGAUCCAGCUGAAGUGGACCUGGACGGGCACGUCGUCGGUAUUUUGCUGGUAGUAGGCGUAGUUGCAGUACUGGCAGUGGACGUUCGCCUGCUGGUAGUAGUUCCAAGGGUGGUCUGCCGGCAGAUUCUUCAUCCUCCUCACGGCCUCCUUGUACUUGUCCAAAUACUCCUGAUCGUCCUUCACGAGGUGGGCCGGCCGCCGCACCCGGAGGGGCGUAGCGGGGAAGCCGUACUCCGAGAUCGUCUCGCUGGGGUUGUAAGGCGGGCAGCAGUGGUUGUCGAGGGCAGGUGCCUUGGCAUCGUGGCACUUGGACAGAUCAGGCGGCAUUAUCGGCUUCGCCAGAACUUUGGGUCCUGCGGUCAAGCCAUAAAGCCCUCCUAACCCCAGCAGCAUGUCGCGCCGAUCCAGUAGUGACGGGGAUUUCUGCUGGCGAGCGGCAUCGCUGCGAUCAUCAUUAUUCCCCUGGCGGCAUGUCACGACAGGGACGUUGAGGCGGCGGGACCUUUCCCGAUGGAGGAGGCAUGCAGAGGAAGCUCCGGUGAAGCUAGAGUUCAACUGGAGAGCCAUGUCUACUAGCGUUCAGUAGGCCACAAAGAGAGAGAGAGAGAGAGAGAAGGCGCGAGCAAAUGGAUCGAACACUGGCCAAGGCGGGUGAUGAGCAGCCCUUCACCGGUCCGCCUUAAAUAGAACAGUGAGCUCGUGGACACGUCGAAUGGAUAAUCGACAUGCAGAGCGCACCUCCCCGUUGUUGAAUAGCCUUCAUGACGAAAGGACCAACACCGCUAUUCCAAUCGGCAGGGCUGGAGAUCUCCUACAUCAUGCGCAUACACGAAUAUUUAAAUUCGGCCAACCAUAUUAAUCCGUGUCUGCUGCCGACGAAUGUUUCUGAUGAUACAUUGUCGACGUGUUCUCUCCCGAUAGUCCUCCUUAAAAGUGUCCGUGUAUCUACUAUUCCAUGUGAUGCCUUGCCACGAGAUAAACGAGGAAUCUCAUUAAUUUGACAAUUGUUCAACCUACUUAAGAAGGCAAUAAAAUCCCUGUUUUUAUCAAAAUAAAAAAUAUGCUUCUAUUUUAUUUUAUCUUCAGUAGAAGAUAAAAAAAAUUAUUUAAGAUAAUAUGAUAAUUCAAAUAGAUGAAAUGAUUAAUUUUAAUAUGAUACAUGUUUAAAAGAGCUUGAAAUGUGAUAAUUAGAAGAGAUAAAAUGAUUAAUUUUAAUAAUUAGAGAAGAGAUAAAUAAUAAUUUAAAAGUACUUAAUAGAAAUUAUAAAUAUAAAUAUAAAUAUUCUAAACUUGUUUAAAUAUAUAACAUUUUAUAAAUCUUAAUGAUAACAAAAAUUUUAUAAAAUCGAUCUCAAAUAAUUAGAACCUAAGAUUUUAUGAUUGUCAAAGGAUUUAUCCAUUACUACGAACCCACUAUACUAAUCAUGUAGCUGAGCUUCUUUUUGAGGUAAUUAUAGUCACACACGGCAGAUAUGAACACGAAGGAAUUAUCCACACUACGAGUAUAGAUAGCAAGAUCUUCUCACAAAUGAACCAAGAUUGUUACUUGUGUUUCCUUAAUCAUUGCAUAAUGAUGCUUCAUACAAAAUAUAUACGAAUGGUUUUAUACAUUAUAUCUAUAAUAAAGAAUAUAAGCUGCAAGAAAAUGAAGCUUCUUUCAAGAAAUGUCCCCCCAAUCUAUCCCAAGAAUAUUCUGUCUUUAAAUUAUUGUUUUAACCUUAAGUCAAUUGUUCCACAACAUACAUCAGGACGCAUCAUAUCUUAAAGUUGUAUAUAGAAUAGAGAAGAGGUUAGUUUAUGUCGUUAUUGAACAGUUAAAAAUAUCGAUGGAUGUAGUAUUAUACUAACAAUUCGACAUAGUCAAAGAUGCCUUGUACGUUGUCACAUGUACAGCUGUUGAUAGCAACACGUACAUAUGGGAACGGGCGACUGCUACUGUCAUACCCAACUUGUUGAAGGAACGCAACAACGACAUGGACGAAGGAAGAAGAACCAGUACACGAUCACUCCAACUUAAGAGGGGAGAAGCUGUGAUCUGAGGGCAUCAUUUAGAUGACGGCGGGAGUAUCUGUCUGCAGGAGUUUGAUGGAAACUCCACCCACAGUGACGCUCCCGGUGCGGAGAACCAGGGUGACCACCAACUUGUCGGCGUCCUCAGCAUCGAUGUCCUCGAGCAGCGCCGUAAUACCCAGCUUGAGCUUUCCCUUCUUCUUGGGGCCCUGCUCUUCGGUCCCGUCGCUUCCCUUCUUCCUAUGCGCCAGCCUAACGAAGCUGCCCACGAACUCGCCGUAGUCGGGUCCGGCGAGGUCACCGUAAGGAACGGCGACGUAGACGUCGAAGCGAGCUGUCUCGUUGGUGGUCACCUUAAUAUCCUUGAUCUGGAGCACCUCCACCUUCUCUUGCUUCUCCUUCUUCUUGCGGUUCUUCUUCGGCCUUGCCACGAUCACCCGCAGCGGGUUGCUCGCGUCGAGCGCCUUGGGUGUCGUCCCGAAUUCGCCCACCCGCUUCAGCGACAGCUCUGCCGUGGACUUGGACUUCGUCUCUGCCGUCUUCUGGCAAUUUAUAUUGCCCAGCCAUGGGAGGGGAACUUGCUCGAACGUGUACCGAAGCUUGGUCGGGUUAAGGCAGUCCUGGAUCUGCACAGUAUACAACAGUUAUGUGUACAACGUUUCUAUUGCAUUUGCAGGGAUGGGUAUAUAUUCGAGACAGCAUCUGACUUGCCUUGACUUUGACGAGCUGCUCGUUCUCGUCAUGGAAGAGGAAGGUGCUGUGCAACCAGUCUUUGUCGUUGAACUCGACGCUGUUGCCGCGGAGGUUGCGGUAGAUGUCCCACAUGCGGUCGACAUUGGAAUGGUGGCAGAAGAAAACAGAAUCGCGGGCCGCGGUGGAGAAGUCGCCCAUGUUUUCCUUGUAUCCGUCCGGCUCUCCGACCCACAUGUGCGCCGCAUUGUGGAUGACUUCCAGCUGCCCGUUUGCCUCCUGGAUCUCCUUCUCCCCCGCGCGCACGGGAUCCCCCAUGAACAGCUCCGCCAGCGACAGGCUGUGCUUGAACGUCUUUUGUAUGAAGCAGAGGUUCUCCCGUAUGAUCUCGCUGUCGGAUGCAGUGUUUUCGGUGUAGGCGUACUUGAGGUCGAGGAUCGCGCCGUCCUUGACGUGACGUUGGUCGCGUUUCGGGUCGUACAGCGGGGAUGCCGCAUCCUGGAAGAUGGCGGGGAACGUCAUGCCGUCCUUGGUGUCCCAGUUCCAGAAGGGGAUGGUGAAGGUGUCGUCGUCGAUGAGCUUGCCGAGGAUCCGCUCGUAGAAGUGGAGGUAGUAGCGGUGCCAGGGGAGGAAGAUCCAGCUGAAGUGGACCUGGACGGGCACGUCGUCGGUAUUUUGCUGGUAGUAGGCGUCGUUGCAAUACUGGCAGU
rnacentral:lncRNA from 1 species